rnacentral:lncRNA from 1 species
UCGGUACAAUGAGAGACCUUGUCUCAGAAGAGGUAGACAUCUCCCCGAGGAUGACAAUCAGGGGUGUCUUCUGGCCUCUGUAUGCACAUGAACAUGUGCAAAGAAAGGGUAUAUUUAUCCCACUUGUUUCAGCUCAUUUUCUCUUUUUAAAAAAACUAAUCUGUUGUUUUUUUUGUUUUGUUUUGUUUUGUUUUGUUUUUUUUUGGUGUGAGUGUGUGUGUGUGUGUGUGUUAUGUAUAAUUGUGAACACUUGCAUGUCAUGGUGUUCCUGUGGAGUCAAUUACCUUCUUCUACCAUUAUGUAGAUUCAAGGACCAACCUCAGGUUGUCAGGCCCAUGGCAAAGGCAUCUUCAGUAGCUGAGCCAUCUCAAUUGUCCCUCAGUUUCUACCUCAAAGGCCCCUCUGUUUCCUGGUCCUAAACUCAGACCCCUUGCUCUGUAGGAAUCUUAUCUACUGGUCUUCCCAUUUCAGUGCUGGCUCAAAGCGAAUGUUUUUAAUGAGGCAAUCUGCAUAGUGCAUGCUCAGCUACUUAGAUGGCCAAGUUAUUUGAAGCCUUUGGGAAGUCUAUUGCUUUCCUAUGAUCUUAGAUCUACUUAAAAUCUAUUCUUUGAGAAUAUCAUUCAUGUUCACAGUAAAAUAAGAUUGCGCCCAACCCCAUUUCCCUACGCUAGCUCCCACUGCCUCUCUCUCAAUAGACCUUCUAUUUGAUUUUGUCAAUGGUUUUGUUUGCUUGCUUGUUUUGAGACAGGAUCUUACCAUGUAGCCCUAGCCACCCUGAAACUUACUCUGUAGACCAGACGGCCUUCAAACUCACAGAGAUCUACCUACCUAGUGCCUACCGAGUGCUGGGCUUAAAGGCUCAUGCCACCACAUCCAACCCACAAGCUUCUUUUUAGAGUUUCUGUCUCUCAGUCUUGAAUAUUUCAAACUGAGUUACCUAAAUCAAACAAACAAACAAACAAACAAACAAAAAACAGUGCAUGAAGACAGAUUCUCUUUAUAGUAUUCUAGAAUCUAGGAGCUGUUAUGAAUCAAACUUAGUCAUCUCCCUCUGGGGGCAGAAGCACCUUUCACUUCUCUGCCUGGCUUUUAUGCAUCCCACGCAGCCUAAAUCUUCCAUGCUGGGACAGCUUCUUAUCAGUGUGAGGAGUCUGCAGCAAGCAGUGGGCCCACGGCUUUAGCAUUCACCUUAGCCUUUUAGGUUUCAUUUUCUGCUGCCAAGAUGCUUAAGUUAGCCUUUGACCUACAGUAGUUUUGAGAAAUAUGGCGGCUGUUAGUCCAAGGGACUCUGUCUCCUUAAGAGCGUGUUGCGACACAUUUAACUCCAAGUCCUGUCAGCUGCAACAGAUCUUACACUUUAACGAGUACUGUGGAUAUCUGAGAAUAAACCAGUCGUGGCUUUACGGGCCUUUUAGGGAAAGCUGCCGCCGCCGUGCUUCUGCUCUCGGAGCCGGGGAAUGUACAGCACUGCUGGGAGCCAAGGAUAUAAACAGCCAGAAUGAUAUGUUCGGCAUUUAGGAAAUACAGCUAGACGUAGCAAACACAAAUGACUGUAACUGCCCUACAGCCAGAGGCAUUUCCUCUGCACAUUUUAUCCACUUCAGGAACCAUGGCCCCAGUGUGCUGCUCAACCCUCAGGAUCCUGGAUACCUUUGCCGUAGAGAGCAUUUCUUUGGAUGUUGCUUGUAUUGGUCUUGGGUCUUUCACUAGAUGAUGGUUGCUUUAAAGUAGAGAAUCGUGUUAUCUCUAAAUAACUCUGUUAAUCCUUCUGUUCCACAUGAAGGGCUGUGAGCCCAGGAGGGGGAAAUCUCUAGGGAGACAGCAAACACUGAGGAACUGGACUAGGAAGAGCCAUGAGUUUGAAAAUCAACUGCCCUAAGCCUCUGGAAACUGAGGACUUCCCCGGCUUCCCGUGUUAUGUCUCCUUGUGUUAGAUAAGGAUACAAGACCCCAGAGACAGACUUCUCAAGCUUGGAAUUGGCAGUCUUGCAUGUUUUGUAUGUUCUGUAGCAUCAUUCAAGUGUAACGGAUAAGGAGGGCGAUGGUUCUUUAUGCCGGAGUAAGAGGUCAUUUCUAGGUAAACUAUUAUUAUUAUUAUUAUUAUUAUUAUCAUCUUUGCCCUCAUUCAUUCCUUUGGGGAUUUUCUGAACCCCUGUACAAGAGGAUAUAGAUGCUGGACAGUAUAGAGAAGAUGCUUAUUAAAUAAUAAGCAGUUUGAACUUAACUUGUCUGUCACCAAUAACAGAGUAAACAUGGGAGAUUGUGGAGCUAAUCUGCUUAACUAUAGUAGCCACUUUUCUGUGUAUAUCCCAUAAUAUCAAGUUGUAAAUUUCCAGUUUUGUUUUGAGAUAACUGAACAGGAGAGGAUAUAGAGUAAUCAGAGGACUCCAACAAAAGCACACUGUCCUCACUGUCCUUCAUCCUUCAGCUCUUGUGACUAGAGGGAGAGGGAGGAGGCUCAUCCAAAGCAGGAUUCACUCUUACUUGAUAAAACACCUACCAUUCCCCAGAUACUAUGCAUCCAUUUCUCAAACUGCUUAUUAUUUAAUAAGCAUCUUUACUAUGCCUUGAUUCAGGACAUUUCAGCAAGGCAGAUAUCAUUAGUCCCAUUUUAUUGAUAGAAAAACACUGGGCUAGAAGGGUAACUUUGGACAGUCUCUGAGCUACAGCGAGUAUCUGAAGCCAGGUCUGUCUGACCAUAUGCAACCUGUUUGGUCAUUCCAUAUCUCCCUCACGUAGAGUCCCUUUGCUCUGCAGUUAUGGCAGACUGCUGUCAGGUAGGCUGCAGGUAUGUUAAAGAGGCAACAACAUGUGGAUAGCCCAAUUUGCCAAACUGUAAAGCCAUAUGGAUCCCAUCUUUAGGGAGCAGGUCCAGGAAGUACCAAAGCUAUUUCAGACAGAGCCAGAGAAGAGAGACGGGCCCAAUGCUGGUAAAUUUUCUCCUUUCCUGAUAACUUGAAUUCCAUACGAGUUGUUGCUGUUGCAGCUGAGGAAACACAACAAGAUUUGGAGAUCUGUGCUUCUCUUCAGAUGGCGAAGAAUGUUUGAGAACGAAUAAGAAGGCGAGGAAAAACCAUGCCAUUUUUAUGUAAAGAAGAGUUUAAAGGAAACAUAGCCCAGUACCUAAAAGAGAAGUGACUCCUAUUUUUCAAAAGGAUCUGUUUAAAAUUUUAGACAGGCAGUGCUUAAUGUCCCAUUUUUAAAUUAAUUUCUCCCUUCUCUCAGCAGCACCAGGAUAAUUGCUGGCACAGUGACGACCCCCUUGCCAAGCCAUGCAAAGGGGAAGUGUGAAAAGAAUUGGAUGUAUAGAAGAACGGCAGAAACCUCAUGCAAUGUGUGUCCUAAACUGCAAAAAUAAUUACCUUCAGGGUGGCAAGACAGCCAGACCGUGUCACUAGAUUAUAACGUUGCCUCGUUGCUCCAAGUCCUAAGUCUUUCUUUCUGGGUUUUUAUAUAUUUGUUGAGAAAUGAGGUUUCGGUUAAAUCUCUGUUACUCUUUCCCUGGAGCAAAGAUUGUGAGC